rnacentral:rRNA from 1 species
GACGAACGCUGGCGGCGUGCUUAACACAUGCAAGUCGAACGGAAAGGCCCUGCUUUUGUGGGGUGCUCGAGUGGCGAAGGGGUGAGUAACACGUGAGUAACCUGCCCUUGACUUUGGGAUAACUUCAGGAAACUGGGGCUAAUAUCGGAUAGGAGCUCCUGCUGCAUGGUGGGGGUUGGAAAGUUUCGGCGGUUGGGGAUGGACUCGCGGCUUAUCGGCUUGUUGGGGGGGUAGUGGCUUACCAAGGCUUUGACGGGUAGCCGGCCUGGGAGGGUGCCCGGCCACAUUGGGCCUGCGAUACGGCCCAGACUCCUACGGGAGGCAGCAGUGGGGAAUAUUGCACAAUGGGCGGAAGCCUGAUGCAGCAACGCCGCGUGCGGGAUGACGGCCUUCGGGUUGUAAACCGCUUUCGGCUGUGACGAAGCGUGAGUGACGGUAAUGGGUAAAGAAGCACCGGCUAACUACGUG